CCUACGGGUGGCAGCAGUGGGGAAUAUUGGGCAAUGGGCGCAAGCCUGACCCAGCAACGCCGCGUGAAGGAAGAAGGCUUUCGGGUUGUAAACUUCUUUUCUGAGGGACGAAGAAAGUGACGGUACCUCAGGAAUAAGCCACGGCUAACUACGUGCCAGCAGCCGCGGUAAUACGUAGGUGGCAAGCGUUAUCCGGAUUUAUUGGGUGUAAAGGGCGUGUAGGCGGGAAAGCAAGUCCGAUGUGAAAACUCAGGGCUCAACCCUGAGCCUGCAUUUGAAACUGUUUUUCUUGAGCGCUGGAGAGGCAAUCGGAAUUCCGUGUGUAGCGGUGAAAUGCAUAGAUAUACGGAGGAACACCAGUGGCGAAGGCGGAUUGCUGGACAGUAACUGACGCUGAGGCGCGAAAGCGUGGGGAGCAAACAGGAUUAGAUACCCGAGUAGUC
rnacentral:rRNA from 1 species